rnacentral:rRNA from 1 species
GACGAACGCUGGCGGCGUGCUUAACACAUGCAAGUCGAACGGUAAGGCCCUUCGGGGUACACGAGUGGCGAACGGGUGAGUAACACGUGGGUGAUCUGCCCUGCACUUCGGGAUAAGCCUGGGAAACUGGGUCUAAUACCGGAUAGGACCACUGCCUGCAUGGGUGGUGGUGGAAAGCUUUUGCGGUGUGGGAUGGGCCCGCGGCCUAGCAGCUUGUUGGUGGGGUGAUGGCCUACCAAGGCGACGACGGGUCGCCGGCCUGAGAGGGUGACCGGCCACACUGGGACUGAGAUACGGCCCAGACUCCUACGGGAGGCAGCAGUGGGGAAUAUUGCACAAUGGGCGCAAGCCUGAUGCGGCGACGCCGCGUGAGGGAUGACGGCCUUCGGGUUGUAAACCUCUUUCAGCACCGACGAAGCGCAAGUGACGGUAGGUGCAGAAGAAGGACCGGCCAACUACGUGCCAGCCGCCGCCGUAA